rfam:Aedes albopictus isolate Foshan contig178671, whole genome shotgun sequence.
AAACCGGUCCUUUUCAGGACCAUCGAAAACACAAGUUUACAAAAUA